GACUUAUUAGCUUAAUUGGUUAAAGCGUCGUGUUAAUAACGCGAAAGCCACUAAGCCUCUGCCAAUCCAUAUGAGGCUUACGGAUUGCCCAAUCCAUAAGUCU
rnacentral:tRNA from 1 species